rnacentral:lncRNA from 1 species
GAGCCCCGCUGCACCCCAGGAGUUCCAUUCCAGCCUCCCCAGUGCGAGUGCGGCCGAGCGCUGACUUUUGGGGGCUCCCUCCCCCGUCUCACUGGGUCCCUCUGCGGCUCCCCCGCCCGCUGUCCCGGUUCAGACGUGGCUGCACCCCGGAGGGGGGCGCCGGCCGAGACCUGAGACGUGGCGCUCCCUCUCUGCCGGCCUCGGCUUCAGUGCUUGAAUUUCAGCCACAUCCCUAAGCUGCCAUCUCAGACCAGAGGAACAGGGAGGGGGGCUUUCUGGAAAGAACAUCACCUGGAAGAAAUCAGGACAUGACUGUGGGCCAUGAGUGACCUUCAAAGGAAAGCCGGGUAUCUGUGGUCUUUAAGAUAUCCAUGACAUUUAAAAACUGAAGAAAUGGAAAGAUCAUCUGAUCAGGCCCAUCAGUCUUUUUCCUAAUGCUAAACAUUGGUACAAAGACGUGAAGUUUGAUGUCUCACUAAGAUUGCCUAGGGCUGCUUUAUUGCUCACCUACUUCAAAGUAUUGGGAAAACAUGAUUAUGGGUACAGGUGAUGCUGUGUUGCCCCCAGACAGGUUUCUUUUGUCAGGUUCUUUUGAUGGAUUAGGAACCUACAAGUGGGGAGAUUUUAGGGAAAUAGCCCCUCCACUUGGAUUUCACCAAAACGUCUUUAGGGUUCUCUUACCCCAAGAAACACGCAUUCCUCUUUAGUGUGGCAGCCCACUCUAUUGGCAAAGUUAAGCAGACCAGUUUUACUAAAAAGGAGCCACCCAGAAACUUAGACAGAAAAUACUUGAGGCACAGAUGAGAAUGAGCACAAAUGUGCAUAGCAAGUGCAGUUUCCUGGCCCUUAAACUGAAGGGCCAGGUCAGUCUGCUCCUCCAGGCACAGCCUGGGACCCCAUCAUGUGCCCCACUCUGCAGUCUGAGCUUCCACUCAAGUCCACCAGGGCCUGCCUCACAUAUAUAUACAAGACCCAAUGUCAGAGUCUGCCUCUGCCCAUGUCUGGUCAGAGGGUUGCACUUUGCCACUGCUACAUGUUCCCAGAGGUUGGCACAGCAUGACCUGGACCUCACCUAACCCAGGCAAACUCUGCUCAUCUUCGAGCUCUCUGGAACCCAUUUCUCAAGGGAGAACCACAUUCCCCCACCUCACAGCCAAGUUCAAGGAAGCAGCCUGGCUAAAGCAAUGACUCAAGGAUACCAGAAGCAGAGCACGCAUUUAAGAAGAUGCGCUGACUCGCAGGAGCAGCUGACUCUUCUUAAGAAGAGUUUACUGAUUCUUCUUUCAGUACGGGCCUUUUAAUAAGAUAUUGUAUUUUACUUCAGCUAUGGGUGCAGACAAUUAAAGGAUUCUAGAAAUCUGAAA